UGACUUAAGUUACAAGUGUGUGUGUGUGU
rnacentral:piRNA from 1 species